AACGAACGCUGGCGGCAUGCUUAACACAUGCAAGUCGAACGAUCCCUUCGGGGCUAGUGGCGCACGGGUGCGUAACGCGUGGGAACCUGCCCUUAGGUUCGGAAUAAAUCAGAGUAAUUUGAGCUCAUACCGGAUAAUGUCUUCGGACCAAAGAUUUAUCGCCUUUGGAUGGGCCCGCGUUGGAUUUGCUCGUUGGUGGGGUAAAGGCCUACCAAGGCGACGAUCCAUAGCUGGUCUGAGCGGAGGAUCAGCCACACUGGGACUGAGACACGGCCCAGACUCCGACGGGGGGCAGCGGUGGAGAAUAUUGUACAAGGGACGAAAGCCUGAUCCAGCAGUGCGGCGUGAGUGAGGAAGGCCUUAGGGUUGUAAAUCUCUUUUACCCGAGAUGAUAAUGACGGUACCGGGAGAAUAAGCCCCGGCUAACUCCGUG
rnacentral:rRNA from 1 species